rnacentral:rRNA from 1 species
UGACUUUACUCGGCGAAUAAGCCACGGCUAACUCCGUGCCAGCCCCGUUAAAUAAGAUAAUAGAUUUGACGGGAGCUGGAAGGCGCGGAGUCACGGCAGUAAUGUCGUGAGAGAAAAUCUCGCUGUAUGCUGGGAACUCUGUAAGUAGGCUGCGCUCCGGCGAUGCGCCGGGGUUUCUUACAGACAAUCAGCAGGAAACCUUAUGUGAUUCAAUCCCGCAUAGGGGAUCCUCAGAGACUAUACGCGAGACUCCUGAUACCAUCAGGAUGAUGAUAUAGUCCAAACCGUUAUUUAACGGGGCCAGCAGCCGCGGUAAUACGGAGGUGGCAAGCGUUACUCGGUUUGACUGGGUGUAAAGGGUCCGUAGGCGGUCAGAUAAGUGAAAGGUGAAAUUUUUCGGCUUAACCGAAAAACUGUCUUUCAAACUGUUUGGCUUGAGGUUGGAAGAGGAGAGCGGAACUGCCAGUGUAAGGGUGAAAUCUGUGGAUAUUGGCAGGAACGCCCGUGACGAAGGUGGCUCUCUGGUUCAAUCCUGACGCUGAGGGACGAAAGCUAGGGGAGCAAACAGGAUUAGAUACCCUGGUAGUCCUAGCUGUAAACGAUGGGCACUAGGUGUCUCUGCCUUAGGCGGGGGUGCCGGAGUUAACGCGUUAAGUGCCCCACCUGGGGACUACGGCCGCAAGGCUAAAACUCAAAGGAAUUGACGGGGGCCCGCACAAGCGGUGGAACAUGUGGUUUAAUUCGAUGCUACGCGAGGAACCUUACCAGGGCUUGACAUGCUGGAAGUAACUGCCCGAAAGGGUGGGUGACCUGUAUCCAAUCAGGAACCAGUGCAGGUGCUGCAUGGCUGUCGUCAGCUCGUGCCGUGAGGUGUUCCCUUAAGUGGGAAAACGAGCGCAACCCUCACCCUUAGUUGCUACCAUUCUGACUUUACGUCGGAAGCUGGGCACUCUAGGGGUACUGCCUACGUUUUAAGUAGGAGGAAGGUGGGGAUGACGUCAAGUCCGCAUGGCCCUUAUGUCCUGGGCUACACACGUGUUACAAUGGCGCGUACAACGGGAGGCGAAACCGCGAGGUGGAGCAAAUCCUUAAAAACGCGUCUCAGUUCGGAUCGAAGGCUGCAAUUCGCCUUCGUGAAGCUGGAAUCGCUAGUAAUGGCGCAUCAGCAACGGCGCCGUGAAUACGUUCCCGGGCCUUGUACACACCGCCCGUCAAGCGCUGAAAGUGGGGGGCACCCGAAGCUUUGACUUUUGUCAGAGUUACGGUGAAUUUCAUGAUUGGCGCUAAGUCGUAACAAGGUAGCCGUACGGGAACG